rnacentral:tRNA from 1 species
GAGGAUAGAGCUCAGUGGUAGAGUGUGUGCUUAGCAUACACAAGGUCCUGGGUUCAAUCCCCAGUACCUCCA